rnacentral:lncRNA from 1 species
AUGGGCACCAGGAGAAAACCCAGAACUGGGCCGCUUAGCACGGAAGGAGUUGGGGGAGGGGCAGGGGAGCAAAGGCCAGGCCUGAGAGCCCCGCAGCCAAUUCCUAGGGUGGCUCGGGCUGGAGAAACAGCCUCGCCCUCCACAGGCCCUGGGGGUGCUGGGGGAGAGGGUAAGUACCGACACUUAGGAGGGACUCGGGAAACCCUGCCGACCUCGAGCUUGGCUAUUUCCGGGCGCGGCUCCUCGCGCCGGGCCCAGGAGUCCCUGGGUGGGGCAGCCCAAACGUGGAGAGUGGCCCCGUGGCCGAGAGCCCGCGGCCGCAGCGAGCUUAGCUUUUGGCCAAAUCCGGCCCGCGCGCCUUCCGGCUGUUGGGUCAGGGCUGAGAGUCCUCCCGGAGCCCUGCGUCACCGCCCAGACAGCGCCCAGCGUCCCUACCGGCAACCAGGCGCCCUCACCCCAGCGCCUGCACCCCGUGCGCCGCGCGCGGGCCGGGCGGAGGGAAAGUUGGCAGGAGCGCGGCGCCCGCGGGAGAAAGCGUUAAUGGGAGGCCGGGUGGGAGCAGCGCGCUCGCUCGCCCACGUCACGCCGGUGCGGGCUCGGCUGACGACCGCGGCGCCUGGGGACGCCGGCGCGCUCCGCUCGCCAGGUGCUCCGCCUGGAAAUGUCUCCAUUAGUUGUCGCCUGCUCCCCGCUGGAGCGCGCGCGCCGAGCUGCCGCGCGGAACCCUCGCGGGCGGCCGGGAGUGGCCCAGCGCCGCCGCAGGUAGGUGAGGGCCCCGCGCCCGCCCCCGCCCCCGCCCCGGGGUUCCAAGACCCCUCCCCCAUUCCGAGGAGGCGGAGGCUCCGUGCGGCCGCCGAGGGGCGCGGGCGGCGGCGGCAGCGGCGACUCCCCGGUGCGUCCCGGGCUGCGCGCUGCUCCCCGCGGCCCCGGAGCCACACGGCGCGGGCGGGAGCUUCCCCAGCUCAGGUAGGGAGUCGGCUCCGCCGCACAAACUUUGCGAGGAUCGCUCUUGCGCUGGAGGGGACAAAGUUUGCCACUCGCCGGGGGCUCUCCAGAGGCCGCUGCGUUUCUGCAAGUUCGGGAAGCAGGGUGCGUGGGGCGCGGGGUGGGGGGCCGGGAGUGGCAAGGCCUGAGGCCUAG